rnacentral:rRNA from 1 species
UACGAAGGGGGCUAGCGUUGCUCGGAAUUACUGGGCGUAAAGCGCACGUAGGCGGAUUGUUAAGUCGGGGGUGAAAUCCUGGAGCUCAACUCCAGAACUGCCUUCGAUACUGGCGAUCUCGAGUCCGGGAGAGGUGAGUGGAACUGCGAGUGUAGAGGUGAAAUUCGUAGAUAUUCGCAAGGACACCAGUGGCGAAGGCGGCUCACUGGCCCGGUACUGACGCUGAGGUGCGAAAGCGUGGGGAGCAAACAGG